GCUGAGUCAGGGGACUCCAGAAAGAUCAUUUUAAAUAGGACAUGGCCUCUGAGCACACUGGCCAAGCUUAGCCUCCUCCCUGAAGCUUGAUCAGGCCAUUCCCACCAUCCCAGGUCUCCCCUGUUCAGAUGCAAACAGCACAUCAGCCUCCACGCCACAGCUGCACUCAAUUCUGCAGACAGUUCUGUCUUGCUUUGCUCAGCAAUGUUUGUUUGGUUGUUGCUAUUGUUUUGUUUUGCCCGUGGCCUCCUCUCUUAACUGGAUUUUAAGUUCCUUGAAGGCAGGGAUUAUUUCUGGUAUUUUGCUGUCUCUAGGAGCUGAGUCAGUGUUGAGCAUCAUGGAAUGCAUAGUAAACACUUCUUGAGUUAGCGGCUGAAAGGCUGGAGGGCAGCAACGCAAUCUCAGCUCACUGCAGCAUCGACCUCCUGGGCUCGAGCAGUCCUCCCGCCUCAGCCUCCCAAGCAGCUGGGACUACAGGCUGUGGGGUGGCCUUCCUGGACGGGGGAGCGGAAGGCCAGCAAGGCUGAGACCUCUGGGAGAGAGAGAGGGAGAAGAUACACUCACCACCUCCCAGGCCUGCUUCACAGAGAAUCUAAGAAGCCACCAGUCGCAGGAGCACAUUGUUCAAUAAACCAUUGGAACUUCCUGGAAUCCCAUGAUUUCUUUGUGUUCUGGU
rnacentral:lncRNA from 1 species